AUUAAGCUGCAAGAGGUGAGUUAAGAAACUUUAUUAUUAUUAUUGGUUAGGGUAGGCAUUUUUAUUCUCAUGCUGAGAAUCCAUCGGGCAAUACCACACAGCAGCAGCUUGCAGCAGUCCUUCCUUUGGGUAGGAUUCAUCUCACCUCACUUCAACCAUCAUUGCUAUUCAGUCAGAGCUGCCUGACCCCUUGCCACCUAUGGAUGGCACAGAGAAAGCCAACUUACCUGCUCCUGGAGAUGCCUCUAACUGUAGAUAGAAGUUAGGUUGGUUUGCCUAGCCUAGAUUGCCACCUUCUAGAUAAAACCUAAUUUUCAUGUCUCUGAUACCUUCUGCAAAGCAGAUGUCUUCCAGUUUGGCUACGUUGUUCUACUUUGCCAAAUGCUACCUGCAGCAUUGAGUGGAAAUGGAGAAUACAAAUUUAGAAAAUCACUGUCCACACAGGAGGCUCUAAUUUGUCCAGCCCAUGUCAGCGUUUGGUACCAGAUGGCUCCCUCAAAUACAAAGAACAGUAGCAGGCAGUUGCAGAGCAAUCUCUCUUCCACGACAGCCCUUUUCCUAACCUCUAGCAGCUGGCUUCACCCUGCUGCAUGACAUUGUAUACGCCUUCCAAAUGCUUCUUACUACUGGCUAUAAUGACCCUAGGUAUUAUUAUCGGCAUAAAUUACACUUUGGCUCUUGGGUUUCAGGAGCCCCGGGUGGCAGUGGGUCUUGCAGCCUCAUUAAGCUCUCAAAUACACCCUUCCUUCUUGCUCCUGUGCCAGUCCCUUCUUGCCCGUCCUGAAUGGGUGCACGGACCUGCCCUGGACAUCGGUGGUGCAUGGACCUGCCUCCCCUCCCUCAGCCCACUGGCUCCUGUGGUGUCUGUAGAUAAUGAGUUUGGAAAGGAGUGCUGCGGGAAAGCCUUCACCUUCACAUCCUCACCCAGCCGGCCGGAGCAGCAGCACGGGCGCUACCAAGGUGUUUCUGUUCACCCUCACCACGAUUCUUUGUGUCCACCCUGCUUGCUUUCCACUGGCAGUGCAUUAAAUGAGUGUGUAAGGGCUCACAGGCACCCAGGCUGAGGAAGCGCUGACGAGAGGGGAGGACUCUGCACACAGCAGCUGCCCCAGGGCCGAGGCAAAGGGGCUGGCUCCAUGUGCCCGUGCUGGGGCUGUGUGUCCUUCCUGGGACAGAGGAGCGGGAUGCACAAGGCCUGGUCACUUUUUUCUGCUGUAUCAGUGAACCUUAACCCCAUUUAUUAUUAUUUCUGGGAUUCCAAGGAUCCUUAUUCCGAGCGAAGAGUGAGCUUUGCUGUGGGUGACUGUGACCUGGCUGCGCAGCAUCGUUGUCCAACCUGAGUCUCUCCAUCAGGAAAUAGAUAAUAUCCAGAUAAUACCAGUCUCAAGAGGUAUCAAAUGGCACAUCUGCACAGAUUUUUCUCAGAGUCAAAUCCACAGGCAGCACUCAGCCCAUGACAAGUAGGAGCGAGCCUGAAACGCAGCCGGAGAGGGGGCGAUGCCCAGCCCGAGAGGGGUCUCCUCUUUCAGGAGCUGAGCUCUCUGUCAUUCGUAGAGCAAACCAUUCAUUUUCUCUGGCGAAUAAUGAUAGUUUAGGGUUAAGAUUUAUGGCAUGGCUGUUAGUUCCUUGAUGGUAGAUACGCAAGGCUAUUUAGCUAUUGCCGAAGGUGGAAAUCCAUAAAGAUGAUGGAAGAGUCUCUCCCCAGACAGCACAAAAGGUCAAUUCAUUUUUUUUUCUGAAGAUCUCCCCAAGCUGGUGAUGCUGUUGGUUUCCCUCUCCCCUUUCCCUUGGCACACGUAGCUUUGUUCCUCCAGUUUUAUAUGCAUGCAGGAAAGGAGCCGCUCUUCUAUAUUCUGCCCCCAUAUAUUUGUAUUUCUCCCCUAAUGUCAUACUCAGGUUCAGACCCUCCAGCCUGAGCACUUUUGCCACCACCCUGCUGCCAGCCCCUUGUCAAACCCUUCCUGGGACUCCUUCCCACUCUGCUUGUUUCACCCCACCCUGAAUAUUUUUGGUGUGUUUUGCAUGGUUACUUGUUUAGUUCCUGAUUGCACCCUCAAAAUAAACAAACAUUUCCCAUUGGGAAAACA
rnacentral:lncRNA from 1 species